rnacentral:rRNA from 1 species
CAGUCGCCGCGGUAGUACGUAGGGUGCAAGCGUUAAUCGGAAUUACUGGGCGUAAAGCGUGCGCAGGCGGUUUCGUAAGACAGAUGUGAAAUCCCCGGGCUUAACCUGGGAACUGCAUUUGUGACUGCGAGGCUAGAGUGUGUCAGAGGGGGGUGGAAUUCAACGUGUAGCGGUGAAAUGCGUAGAGAUCUGGAGGAAUACCGGUGGCGAAGGCGGCCCCCUGGACAAAGACUGACGCUCAGGUGCGAAAGCGUGGGGAGCAAACAGGAUUAGAUACCCGAGUAGUCCCUGUCUCUUAUAU